UACGGGGGGAGCAAGCGUUGUUCGGAUUUACUGGGCGUAAAGGGCGCGUAGGCGGUCGUGACAAGUCACUUGUGAAAUCUCCGGGCUUAACUCGGAACUGCCAAGUGAAACUGUCAAGCUAGAGUGCAGAAGGGGCAAUCGGAAUUCUUGGUGUAGCGGUGAAAUGCGUAGAUAUCAAGAGGAACACCUGAGGUGAAGACGGGUUGCUGGGCUGACACUGACGCUGAGGCGCGAAAGCCAGGGGAGCAAACGGG
rnacentral:rRNA from 1 species